rnacentral:lncRNA from 1 species
GUAUUGAUUUAGGUUCUUUGCUUGAUUAGGAAGCAACCUAUCCUUAAUGCAAAGCCAUUCACUUGAUCCAUGAUCAAGUUGAAUUAGAUUUGAAUCAAGGAAGGUUAAAUCUCCCAUGUAUAUUUGCUUGAUUAGGAAGCAACCUAUCCUUAAUGCAAAGCCAUUCACUUGAUCCAUGAUCAAGUUGAAUUAGAUUUGAAUCAAGGAAGGUUAAAUCUCCCAUGUAUCAAGGCUAACCACCAAUCUUUAACUCAUUGAUCAGAAAAAGAAAAAAAAGAAGAAGAAGAAGAAGAAUAUUAAAGUACAUUAAUGGAA